rnacentral:tRNA from 1 species
AGAAAAGUAAGCUAAGUUAAGCUAGUGGGUUCAUACCCCAUUAAUAGAGAUAUCUCUCUUCUCUA